rnacentral:rRNA from 1 species
GUCCUGUUGUUAAUUAUAGUAGGUCUAACCUGCCCACUGACAAUAUUAGUUUAACGGCCGCAGUAUAUUGACUGUGCAAAGGUAGCAUAAUCAUUAGUCUUUUAAUAGAGGGCUGGAAUGAAUGGUUUGACGAAAUAUCAGCUGUCUCACUUUUAUUUAUUGAAUUUAACUUUUAAGUUAAAAGGCUUAAAUUUAUUUGGAAGACGAGAAGACCCUAUAGAGCUUUAUUAAUAUUAUUUUUAUUUAAUUUGGUUUGUAAUUAAUAAUUAAAGUAAGAUUAAUUUUGUUGGGGUGAUGGUAAAUAAAUAUGUAACUUUUAUUAUUAAUUUUACAUUUAUAUAUGAUUUAUUAGAUCCUUUUUUGAUUAUUAGAUUAAGUUACCUUAGGGAUAACAGCGUAAUCUUUCCUUUGAGUUCUUAUUUUCGGAAAGGGUUGCGACCUCGAUGUUGGAUUAAGAUUAUAAUUAGGUGUAGCCGCUUUAUUUAUAGGUCUGUUCGACCUUUAAAUUCUUACAUGAUCUGAGUUCASACCGG